GACCACGUAGCCUAACAGAUAAAACAUCCAACUUCGAAUCAGAAAAUUGAGGGUUCAAGUCUUUUCAUGGUCU
rnacentral:tRNA from 1 species